rnacentral:rRNA from 1 species
GAUGAACGCUGGCGGCGUGCCUAAUACAUGCAAGUCGAGCGAACGGACGAGAAGCUUUCUUCUCUGAUGUUAGCGGCGGACGGGUGAGUAACACGUGGAUAACCUACCUAUAAGACUGGGAUAACUUCGGGAAACCGGAUCUAAUACCGGAUAAUAUUUUGAACCGCAUGGUUCAAAAGUGAAAGACGGUCUUGCUGUCACUUAUAGAUGGAUCCGCGCUGCAUUCGCUAGUUGGUAAGGUAACGGCUUACCAAGGCAACGAUGCAUAGCCGACCUGAGAGGGUGAUCGGCCACACUGGAACUGAGACACGGUCCAGACUCCUACGGGAGGCAGCAGUAGGGAAUCUUCCGCAAUGGGCGAAAGCGUGACGGAGCAACGCCGCGUGAGUGAUGAAGGUCUUCGGAUCGUAAAACUCUGUUAUUAGGGAAGAACAUAUGUGUAAGUAACUGUGCACAUCUUGACGGUACCUAAUCAGAAAGCCACGGCUAACUACGUG